UUACUGAGUUCUUACAAGAAAAACUAGGGCACUGAACAAGAACUGGACUCUGAAACUUGGAAUGGGCACAUCUGAAUGGGCUGAGGUCGCUGUCCUCUGCAGGGUGCUGCAGCACCCGGUCCAGGUCCCUGAGUGCCCUGUCAUACUCCUGCAGCUGGGUCAAGCAGGCCACCCGGAGACGCAGAUGGUAAGGAUUGUUGCCCCCAGCCAGGAUGGCCAAAGAACAGUAGCUUAGUGCCUGCCCCGGAUUCCCUAAAUCCAAGAUGUUGCUUGCUUCCUUGGCAGCGGUCUGUGAAGGGGACACAGGGAAAAAGAGCGCAGAGUGAAGUCUGUGGACAUAGUCAGCCUCUGCUGGUGUCUGGUCCUCGCCCUGUGCAGAAGACACCCACACUCUGGAGGCCUGGUCAUGGGUAGGGGUAAGGGACUGGUUUCCUCCUGUGACUGAGGGCUGCGGCUGGCCCAGCAUGUCCACCUCCCCAUAGUCCCUGAAGGCAACGUUGUUUCCCGAGCAGAGGCAGGUUUGCACCCGAAGUUGCUAAGCAUCUUCAUCUCCCCUCCCUGAUCCUGUUUCUCUAGGCCACUAUGAAGGCAGGCAACUUCAUCUCAUCAUAAAUUCGUUAGACUCACAGAAUUCCUCCUCUGCUCAAUAACCUACAACGGUUCCACAGAACCUGAGAUGGGCCUCUGGGUCCCUCCCUCCCCCUUUUAACUGCAUCCAGUCUCACAGCAUACAACACCAUAAACUCUAAAGCCUUCAGAGGCAGGUAAAGCUCCGAGCAUCCCGGGCCGAGUCACUCCUAUAGGGGAUAAACACCACAGAUGUUUUUGCUAGGAGGGCUGAAGGGUUCUGGGGGCCUAUAGGGAGAGGACCUGCUUUCCAGCAUGGAUUGCAGUGCCAUCUCCCGACACUAGACUGAAGGCUCGCACAUGAGCACCCGCUUUUCUUGUUCCCUGCUGUGUGACCCUGCCAGAGCCUCUUGCCCUCCUUGCUGCAUGGUCCACGUGGCUGCUGGAUACAGA
rnacentral:lncRNA from 1 species